GACGGAGGGGGCGAGCGUUGUUCGGAAUUACUGGGCGUAAAGGGCACGUAGGCGGUCAGGUAAGUCGGCUGUGAAAGCCCUCGGCUCAACCGGGGAACUGCGACCGAAACUGCCUGACUCGAGUGCGGGAGGGGAGAGUGGAAUUCCCAGUGUAGCGGUGAAAUGCGUAGAUAUUGGGAAGAACACCUAUGGCGAAGGCAGCUCUCUGGACCGCUACUGACGCUGAGGUGCGAAAGCCAGGGGAGCAAACGGG
rnacentral:rRNA from 1 species